rnacentral:rRNA from 1 species
CUCUAGGGUUAAUACCCCUAGACGAUGACAUUAGCUGCAGAAUAAGCACCGGCUAACUCUGUGCCAGCAGCCGCGGUAAUACAGAGGGUGCAAGCGUUAAUCGGAAUUACUGGGCGUAAAGCGAGCGUAGGUGGCUUGAUAAGUUAGAUGUGAAAGCCCCGGGCUUAACCUGGGAACGGCAUCUGAUACUGUUGAGCUAGAGUAGGUGAGAGGAAGGUAGAAUUCCAGAUGUAGCGGUGAAAUGCGUAGAGAUCUGGAGGAAUACCGAUGGCGAAGGCAGCCUUCUGGCAUCAUACUGACACUGAGGCUCGAAAGCGUGGGUAGCAAACAGGAUUAGAUACCCUGGUAGUCCACGCCGUAAACGAUGUC